ensembl:lncRNA
AGAAUGACUUUCUUAGGCUAUGUGGUGGUAAUGGGCUUCCACACAAAAGUCAAACCUGACUAGGCUGAGAGAGCAUUUCAGACCAGCAAACCAGCUUAGGCUGUUUUAGGCAGUUUUUCUCAGCAGGGGUCUGCUGCUCAUACAGUGAUCAAAGAGUCAGGCGCGGGCUUUCACGUGCCCAAGGCUUCACAAUUCUGACCCUUCCUCCUUUCCUGGAUGUGUUCUCUGUCUGCUCUUCGUAGGACAGUUUAACGAACAUGUAACGGUUCGUGCGGCUCACGCAAAUCGAGAGGGCAGAGCUUAGCUGACUCAGUUACAUCUAUUUCUUCGUGUUUCCUCUCACGCUGGCGAGUGAAUACAGCGCGAGGCGAGGCGAGACGCAGAACAGCACAGAGCGCCAACAGGGAUGUAUACCAAACACAGACAGAAAAACGGACACAUUUCAUCGACACGAUAUGUGCUUGUAAUGCUAUGGGUUUUUCUCUUUAACGGUUUACUGGAAAUUGUAAGCGGAAAUCCUCGGGAGGAAGUGGAAGAUAGAGGACAGAGAGUAGCGGCACACUGGAUCUCUCACAGAACAGCAAAGCGAGAGGCUGAAACAGCAUUUAAGGACCAGUUCCCAGAGAGAGGGGAGAUUCUUGUCUCAGCCCAGGACUUGAAAUUGGUUCUACAAGUUGAACGAAAUCAUCUUGGCCAGUCUGGUUUUUCAAAUGUAGGUCAGAAGAAAGGACACAAGCGCUGACACACAUAAACAUCGAGCAGCCUGACUUCCUGAGUAUUGUCGAGGCUCGAAGGAACCCUCAAAGCAGUCUGGCAGUCUUUACAAGACAAAGUACUCUCCAAGCAGGUCGAAGUGAAGAAAAUGAGGAGAGUCAGGGCAUAGAGGACUGGCAUAGAAUCUAGAUCACAGCCGCAUUGUAAUGGCCCAGGAAAUGGAGGGUAGCUUGAAGACUUUUUAAUGAAUACACUCAAUCUAUAGACUAAGCUUUUCUUGAAAUAGAUAAAAGAAGGUGCAUUACUUGAGUGUAUAUGCCAUUUGUCUAAUUGCUUCUUUGCAUUGCAUCUCUUGCAGUGAAGUGCUUUCAACACACAACAGGAAGGAGAGCAUACAGAAACGGAAAUGUUAUUUUCAGAUGUUAGGGCAGAAGGUGUCUGGUUUGUGAAAAGGGACAUUUCAAAAGAAGAACACCUGUUUUUCUGCGCACCAUAGGGCAAUUUUUUUUUUAUAGAAUUUAUAUAUUAUAAAGCAGUGGUGGACAAAGUACACAGAUCAAGUACUUGAGUAAAAGUAGAGAUACCCUAAUAAAAUAUCACUCCAGUAAAGGUAUUUAAUACUCCUUUUCAAUUUUAAUCGAGUAAAAGUACAAAAGUAUUUGAUUUUUAAUGUACUUAAGUAUAACAAGUAAAAAGUACUGAUCGAUGAAUGUGCAUUUCUUUUGUAAUUUAAUAUACUUUUAUAUUUGAUAAUUUAUAUUGAUAAUAUAUAUUUCAUUUAAUUCUAUUGCUCAAAAUACCUGGGGGAGGGAGGCUUGGUGGGUUGUUGCUGGGUCUGACAUCAACAUGAAUAAUUAUGACAACGUUUUUAGGAAAUGUAAUGGAGUAAAAAGUCAAAUGUUAUGCUUUGGAAUGUAGUGAAAUAAAAGUUCCUCAAAAUAAAAAUACUCCGAUAAAGCACGGAUACUUGAAAAGUCUACUUAAGUACACUAAAGUUAAAAUAUUUCAAUUGCAUUGUCAAUUAUGUAGCAAUGUAGGAAGCAGAACUAGAAGUCACUUUUACACCAAGCAUAGUGUUAUGUUUAUUAUUAAUUCCAUAGCUAAUGGAAGCAUAAAAAAAUGCAUCUGUGGAUGAGACUAAUGAGAAACCUCGCUUCGGACCAGUUGUUGUUCCUAACAAGAGAUAGUACUCAACUCAAGUCAAGUCACAUUUAUAUGUAUAUCGCUUUAUACAAUAUAUAUUGUGUCAAAGCAGCUUUACAGUGUUAAACAGGGAUAUAGUGUGUCAAUAAUUCAAACAAAAUAAAAUUCUGCUGUAGAGCAGCUCUAAAAAGAGGAUAAUCGUAAAUUUUUUAAUUUAAGGGCAGUUCGUUGUUGAUUCAGUGAUGUCAUCAUCCAGCUCAGUUCAAUUUUCAUCCAACAGUGUCUAUGCAAUCAAGUCGACAAUAUAGCCAAAACAUUAUAAGUGUAGACUAAUUUAAAUGCACACAUUUAUGAACACAACAGGAAAAAAAGAAAAAGAAAAAAAGGCUACAAAAUUAUGAAAUUGAAGUAGAUUUAAAUGAAAUACUGUAAUACUUUUUCAUCAUAGAUGCAAUUAUGUAUUGUGCAGCUCUAAUACACUAUCCAUUUCAAUAAAAAGUUGAAUAAACAGAACCAAAGAAUUGGCAUAGGCAGUCUUGGUGGUUUAACCCUGAGCUCAUUUUGAAAUAUCAGUAAAGGUCAACUUUAGACUGCAAUUCUGACCUCGGUCAGCUGGGGUUAAAGGUCACCAGUCUUAUGGCUGUGUUGCAUUACGUGUGAUCCAUAAUGUGACUAUAAAAACCUCUAGAAAACCUUCAGGCAUAUUUUUCCCUUAUAUGGAAGUGCUUAGAAAUCGUUUUCUGGGUGAAUAUGUAGGCAUAUUUUAAAUGGCUCUUGAAUAGCUUCAUUGUGUAUUGCAUACAGCAAACUCCUCUAUUCCAUUUUUUGUCUCCAUGAGAAUUACAAAGUAAGAGCCUCUCAUUCUGCAAAUGACAAUAAGAAAUAGGUACAAUUUCGCAUUGUUUCCCCAUCACACAAUUUCGGACAAGCGCAAGGUUUUGGCAUUUUAUUCGUAGCCAAGCUAUUUGUGAUGUAAAUGAGCAUAUUUAUGUUUGUUUGCAUCUAAGCUGGUAUUUAACUGAAAGGAUGAGAGACCAGUUAAAGAGAGUGAAUGAGCAGAUACACGCGGAUGACAGGCGUGUUUUAGGCAGUGUUUAUAAGCUGGAGUAAUGUGUUUUAAUCUCUUCUGGGGAGGAUCUUACCACAUAUUUUAAUUAAAUUUUAAACUGUAUAAUGGAGAAAUAUGUCCUCUGAUAUUUGGUAUUUUAAGGUACUACACUGAUUAUUUUAGUUUACUCACAGUGGCAUUGUGAGGUGGUCUGUGGGUUUCUUUUGAGGUCAAGUGGUUUGUGAAAAAGGUUGCUUUUACAUCUAAAGAUCAUUUUAAAGAGAAACUGGAGGAGAUCAUGGUGUAUCAGAGGUGAAAGAGAUUAAUAGAGUUUAUAUUGCCUAAUAUGAGAGAGAGAAACUGGAAGGGAAGGAAUGAAAAGAAUGGAGGACGAGAGGGGUUUAGAGCAUGGAGAGUGGUGAUAAGGAGACAGAGGAUAGAGAGCUGAAAAGAACAUGAAAAGGGAGAUGAAGAGUCCAGACAGGUGGUUUGGUCCUGUGGUAGUUUAACUCCCAAGAGCCGAACCUCAUAUCCCAUCAAAGCUGAAGUGAUUGACCUACAUAUAUUUUAAUGUAUUUACCCCAUAGGAUAUGUUAUUUAAUAUAUAUAUAUAUUUAUUUAUUUAUUUAUUUAUUUAUUUAUUUAGGAAUUGCAGCACAUGUUCGGGAUUAAGCUAACAGUUGCCUGUAUAAUUCAACACAGUCACAACUCAUGAACUUUUAAAACCUUGGCAGAGGUGUCAUUGUAUCACUAAUAAUCAGGGUGGACAAUUAAAUGAAAUGUUUAAUCUGAAUGACCACAUGUAUGAUGUUACGGAGAGACUGAGAUGAGAAGCAUGCGGAUCCAUUUGCAAAGCUUUAUUCUUAAACAUGGUCAUAACAGGCAAGGAUCAGAAAAUGGCACACAGGUAUAUUGAGGGCAAGACAAGAGUAAUCCAAAGCGGACGUGGUCAAAUGGUGGCUAACAGCAUCCAGAGGGCUUGACAAGAGGGGUAAUCUGACAACAUGAGCAAUAGUCCAGGCAAGGUGCAAACACAGUCUGAACGACAAGACGAAAGGGAUAAUCCAAGACAGGCUAAUAAUUCUAGGGCAGGCAACUGACACACAGGAUGAGAUAAAUAGACUGGAAUUAAGACUAAUAUAACAAGACUAAACUAGAUUCAGAAAACUAGGACAGGAAUCUGGCUCCAUAAAGUUCUACCACUUAGAGAGCGAUAAACGCAAACAAUACUUGGCAGUGAAUGGUGGUGUGAGACUGAUUUAUAUACUGUGUGUUAUUGGUACACUGUAAAAAAAGAAAAGUUGACAUAACUUAAAAUUUCAAGGCAACUUGCUGCACAGCUUUUUUGAGUUUAGUCAACUUUUAAACAAAGUAGUUCACUUAACUCAAUUCACUGAGUAAGGUCACAU